GAGGAGGCGGCGGCGGUGGCGAACUGGGCGGCAACAGCUGGGACGGCUGCACCUGUACCCCUUGGAGGGCGGACGCACUGGAGCUGGAGAAGCUCCUCGCAGGGAGAAAAUACAACAUGUGUCCACACUGAUAUUCCAAUUUAAAGUCAGGAAUACCAGCUUGCUGACCAUGAAUCCUGGCCCAAACUUUCACAGGCAUCUGCAGGGACCGCACUCUCCAUCCCUUUGAGGCAGGGCAUGGUUAUGGGAUGUACUCUGGCCAGCGCAGCAUGAAGGGAGCUGAGCAUGCCACUUCCAGGUGGCAGCUGUCAGGAGAUGGUGCUGGCUUUCCUGGACAUGCAACAAUAUCAUUGUGCACCCCCAAAUGAAGGCAGCAAGGAAUAGAGCUCACUAACAACCUGAAAUGGAUAUGCUCUAGGAGUAAGGAAGACAGAAAAGGCAACAAACGAAAUCCAAACUUUAUGUUGCUUAAAGCUACUGAGAUUUUUAGGGAUUUUUGUUACUGCAACAUAUUCUAGUCUACUUUGAAUGUUCACAUAUGAGAACUAUAUAAUGAUAUUUCCCUAUUUAAUUUAAUCUCAUCUCUAGUUAUAUUUAAUCUAUGCAAAGAUCAAAUCUGUGAAUAGUUAUAUAGUGAAAUGCCCAUGCUGAUUCUGCCCAUAUCUUUAGCAGGAAUGCCUAAGGAGAGAAAUUUAGACCACCAGUACUAAAAUCAUGACUUUUGGUGAGAGAAAAGGUAGAGCUGAGAAAGGGUGAAGAAGUUAAGAAGUGCAUUUGGUCUGGAAGAAAAGAGUUGGUGCCCAAGGCCCAACUCAGUCAUAUUGCUUACACUUUUGUCUAUGUUUUUCAGAAGAUAGGAAAAAGCAGGAAAACUAUAUCAAUAUAUAAUCGAAUAAAUCCAAUUAUAUUUGGAGCAGAGGACACAUUUUUUAUUAGUACUGACUGCACAGCUUUAGCUGGUACUGGAGGAUCUACAAGGAUUCAUGCUCGCCUAGGUCUUCCCUCUCAGGUUGGUCUUGGAUCACUGCUUGCAGGACUCACUGGGUUAUGUUCAAUAUGCAUUCAAACUUAUUUCCCCAAUGUUUCAUGUAGAUGGUGUAAAAAAUACUUUCUUGAAUAUAUCAGUUGGUUCAAGUGAACUCAGACUGUGCACUAAAGGUAUUCUAAGAAGAAACAAAAAGUAAGAUAAAUUGAUCAAUAGCUUAUGAGUAUGUGUAUAUGGUGAGCACACAUUUAUCCACACAAAAACACAUAAUUAAAGUAUCCCCAUAAUAAAAAUAUUAAGCUUGUCUUAUGAUUAAAGAGAAUGAAAUGGAAGAAAAUCAAUGACAUUUCUAAGUUUCUAUAUCAAGUCCCCAGUCUUGGAAAAUGUGAGUUCAGAAAUCAUAAUAGUUUACUAAAUUCUGACACUGAUGAAAAGCACUAUAUACCUUACUUUAUCAACAUUUGUUGUUUUAAGCAGCUAUUAUCUUAUAUCCUAUGUUUUAAUGAUACUUACAAUGCUAAACAACUUCUGAGACUUUAUAAUACAUGUUCAUUGCUCCUUAUGAAACAGUAUAUCCAAUAUGAAGAGACAGUUCUCCAGAGAAGAAAUUCAGAUGGCCAACAGACACAUGAAAAGAUGCUCCACAUCAUUAAUAAUCAGGGAAAUGCAAAUUAAAACCACAAUGAGAUAUCACCUCACACCAGUAAGGAUGGCUAGCAUCGAAAAGACUAAGAACCACAAAUGCUGGCGAGGAUGCGGAGAAAGGGGAACCCUCCUACACUGCUGGUGGGCAUGUAAGCUAGUUCAACCAUUGUGGAAAGCUAUAUGGAGGUUCCUCAAAAAACUGAAAAUAGAAAUACCAUUUGACCUGGGAAUCCCACUCCUUGGAAUUUACCCAAAGAAUACAAGUUCUCACAUUCAAAAAGACAUACGCACCCCUAUUUUUAUUGCAGCACUUUUUACAACAGCCAAGAUAUGGAAGCAACCUAAGUGUCCGUCAGUAGAUGAAUGGAUAAAGAAGAGGUGGUGCAUAUACACAAUGGAAUACUAUUCAGCAAUAAGAAAGAAACAAAUCUUACCAUUUGCAACAACAUGGAUGGAGCUGGAGGAUAUUAUGCUCAGUAAAAUAAGUCAGGUGGAGAAAGACAAGUGCCAAAUGAUUUCCCUCAUUUGUGGAGAUAACAACCAAGCAAGACUGAAAGAACAAAAUAGCAGCAGACUCAGAGACUCAUAGAAGGAACUAGUGGUUACCAAAG